rnacentral:rRNA from 1 species
CACGUAGGCGGUCUGGUAAGUCGGGUGUGAAAGCCCUGGGCUCAACCCAGGAAGUGCACUCGAAACUGCCAAACUUGAGUACAGGAGAGGGUCGCGGAAUUCCCGGUGUAGAGGUGAAAUUCGUAAAUAUCGGGAGGAACACCAGAGGCGAAGGCGGCGACCUGGACUGAUACUGACGCUGAGGUGCGAAAGCGUGGGGAGCGAACA